CUUGAACGCUGGCUGCAGUCCUAACACAUGCAAGUCUAACGAGUGGCGGACUCGUGAGUAAUUUCUGGUCAACUUCCUGCUGUAGGGUGAUAACUACUGGCAACUGUAGCUAAUACCGCAUACCCUACGAUGUGCCCAGAUGGGAUUAGCUAGUUGGUGGGUUAACGGCUCACCAAGGCGACCAUCCCUAGCUGGUAUGAGAUGAUGACCAGCCACAGUGGAACGGAGACACGGUCCAGCCUACUACGGGAGGCAGCAGUGGGGAAUAUUGCACAAUGGGCGCAAGCCUGAUGCAGCCAUGCCGCGUGUAUGAAGAAGGCCUUCGGGUUGUAAAGUACUUUCAGCGGGGAGGCGUUACCCGCAGAAGAAGCACCGGCUAACUCAGUGCCAGCAGCCGCGGUAAUUC
rnacentral:rRNA from 1 species